CUUUCCAUGGGUGCGCCCCAGCUUUCUGAUUGACAAUGUGCCAGUGCUCCUGAUCUUUGCUAAGCUAUAAGAAUGUAAUUAUUAACCAGCAAAAGCUCCAGUCCUGCACAUGCGUCCCACGUGUGGUCUUCUGCAGAACUGUCACUAGUCAUUGCUACUUUCAUUAGUAUCAGAGACAAUGUCACAAGCAAUCUGAACUGGUGUGUGUGCCUUUGUACAGAGGAUCCUCAAUACUGUGCUAAUGCGUGUAAUUGACAACAGAAGUUCAUGUGGAGGAGAAGGUUACGUAUUGAGUACAUUUUUCUGUCCCUCUGGAUGACAGCUUUGUCCUCAAGAAUAUAGACUGUUCCACCCAUCUUGGUGUCAUCUGCAAACUUGACAAGAGUGUACUCCAGUGCCUCCUUUCUUGUUUUUCCCAGGAUGAAUUAUCUCACUUGAGAGCUCUAGCAGACUACAAUGACUGAGCACAGCAGAACUGGGUAUGGCAUGGUAAUUGUCUGCGAAGAUUAAAUUGUCCUUUAUUUUUUUUUUUGUUAAUACAAUAAAAAGCUGAAAUAUG